GAUGAACGCUGGCGGCGUGCUUAACACAUGCAAGUCGAACGGAAAGGCCCAAGCUUGCUUGGGUACUCGAGUGGCGAACGGGUGAGUAACACGUGGGUGAUCUGCCCUGCACUUCGGGAUAAGCCUGGGAAACUGGGUCUAAUACCGGAUAGGACCACAUUUUGGAUGGUGUGGUGGAAAGUUUUUCGGUGUGGGAUGAGCUCGCGGCCUAUCAGCUUGUUGGUGGGGUAAUGGCCUACCAAGGCGUCGACGGGUAGCCGGCCUGAGAGGGUGUACGGCCACAUUGGGACUGAGAUACGGCCCAGACUCCUACGGGAGGCAGCAGUGGGGAAUAUUGCAAAAUGGGCGCAAGCCUGAUGCAGCGACGCCGCGUGGGGGAUGACGGCCUUCGGGUUGUAAACUCCUUUCGCUAGGGACGAAGCGUUAUGUGACGGUACCUGGAGAAGAAGCACCGGCUAACUACGUG
rnacentral:rRNA from 1 species